rnacentral:snRNA from 13 species
AGCUUUGCGCAGUGGCGAUAUUGUAACCAAUGAAGUUCUACUGAGGUGCGAUUAUUGCUAAUUGAAAACUAAUUGAAUUAAAAAAUUAUUCUUUUUUUAAACGUAAAAUCAAUUUUCUAAAAAAAUCAGAUCGGAAUUG